CAGUAGCCGCGGGAAUACGAAGGGUGCAAGCGUUAAUCGGAAUUACUGGGCGUAAAGAGCUCGUAGGCGGUUUGUCGCGUCUGCCGUGAAAGUCCGGGGCUCAACCCCGGAUCUGCGGUGGGUACGGGCAGACUAGAGUGAUGUAGGGGAGACUGGAAUUCCUGGUGUAGCGGUGAAAUGCGCAGAUAUCAGGAGGAACACCAGUGGCGAAGGCGACUCUCUGGUCUGUAACUGACGCUGAGGAGCGAAAGCGUGGGGAGCGAACAGGAUUAGAUACCCCAGUAGUCCCUGUCUCUUAUAA
rnacentral:rRNA from 1 species